rnacentral:rRNA from 1 species
AUUGAACGCUGGCGGAAUGCUUUACACAUGCAAGUCGAACGGCAGCACGGGUGCUUGCACCUGGUGGCGAGUGGCGAACGGGUGAGUAAUACAUCGGAACGUACCCAGUCGUGGGGGAUAACGUAGCGAAAGUUACGCUAAUACCGCAUACGUCCUGAGGGAGAAAGCGGGGGACCGUAAGGCCUCGCGCGAUUGGAGCGGCCGAUGGCGGAUUAGCUAGUUGGUGGGGUAAAGGCCUACCAAGGCGACGAUCCGUAGCGGGUCUGAGAGGACGGCCAGCCGCACUGGAACUGAGACACGGUCCAGACUCCUACGGGAGGCAGCAGUGGGGAAUUUUGGACAAUGGGCGAAAGCCUGAUCCAGCCAUUCCGCGUGAGUGAAGAAGGCCUUCGGGUUGUAAAGCUCUUUCGGCAGGGAAGAAACGGCUUGGGAUAAUACCCCGGGCUAAUGACGGUACCUGAAGAAGAAGCACCGGCUAACUACGUGCCAGCCGCCGCAGUAA